rnacentral:rRNA from 1 species
GACGAACGCUGGCGGCGUGCCUAAUACAUGCAAGUAGAACGCAGUUGCGAACGGGUGAGUAACGCGUAGGUAAAUGCCUGGUAGCGGGGGAUAACUAUUGGAAACGAUAGCUAAUACCGCAUACUACCAGAUGGACCUGCGUUGUAUUAGCUAGUUGGUGAGGUAACGGUUAACCAAUGCAACGAUACAUAGCCGACCUGGGAGGGUGAGCGGCCACACUGGGAAUGGGACACGGCCCAGACUCCUACGGGAGGGAGCAGUAGAGAAUCUUCGGCAAUGGGAAGAACCCUGAACGAGCAACGCCGCGGGAGUGAAGAAGGUUUUCGGAUCGUAAAACUCUGUUGUUAAAGAAGCGGUACUUAACCAGAAAGGAACGGCUAACUACGUGCCAGCAGCCGCGGUAAUAC